CUAAGGAAAGUUAUCAGGAUGCAAAUUUAGUUUUUGAGGAGUUUGCUCGCCAUAAUCUGAAAGAUGCAGGAGAAGCUGAGGAGGGGAAGAGAGACAAGAAUGACAUUGAUGAGUGAAGAUGUCAGCUCAGGAUGCCGGAAAAUGACCUGUAGUUACCAGUGCAACGAGCAAAGCCUCACAGUUUAGUCCUUUGGAGUUAUGCUACAUAUGAAAGGAUGAGUCUUAUUCCGAGAAAUAAAGCUUGUUUGUUCUCCCCUGG
rnacentral:sRNA from 1 species